rnacentral:pre_miRNA from 3 species
UCUUAUAGAUGAACAAACAAAGAGGUUUCUUAAAAUGGAAUCCACUCCUGGUGAAGAUGCUGUGAA